rnacentral:rRNA from 1 species
CAGGGUGACAGGUGGUGCAUGGUUGUCGUCAGCUCGUGUCGUGAGAUGUUGGGUUAAGUCCCGCAACGAGCGCAACCCUCGACCUUAGUUGCCAGCAUUCAGUUGGGCACUCUAAGGUGACUGCCGGCUAAAAGUCGGAGGAAGGUGGGGAUGACGUCAAAUCAUCAUGCCCCUUAUGACCUGGGCUACACACGUGCUACAAUGGGCGGUACAAAGGGUUGCCAAGCCGCGAGGUGGAGCUAAUCCCAUAAAACCGAUCGUAGUCCGGAUCGCAGUCUGCAACUCGACUGCGUGAAGUCGGAAUCGCUAGUAAUCGUGAAUCAGAAUGUCACGGUGAAUACGUUCCCGGGCCUU